rnacentral:tRNA from 1 species
GAGGGGAUAGUUCAGUGGUAGAGUGCAUACUUAGCAUACAUGAGAUCCUGGGUUCAAUCCCCAGUACCUCCA